CCUACGGGUGGCAGCAGUGGGGAAUAUUGCGCAAUGGGCGAAAGCCUGACGCAGCGACGCCGCGUGAGGGAUGAAGGUCUUCGGAACGUAAACCUCUGUCAGCAGGGAAGCACGGUCACUGUGCUAAUCAGCAGUGAAUUGACGGUACCUGCAAAGGAAGCACCGGCUAACUCCGUGCCCGCAGCCGCGGUAAUACGGUGGGUGCGUGCGGUAAUCGGAAUUACUGGGAGUAAAGCGCUCGUAGGCGGUAUGUCAAGUCAAGGGUGAAAUCCCCGCGCUCAACGUGGGAACUGCCUUUGAAACUGGCAAACUGGAGUGUGUGAGAGGUUAGUGGAAUUCGAGGUGUAGGAGUGAAAUCCGUAGAUAUCUGGAGGAACAUCAGUGGCGAAGGCGACUAUCUGGCACAUAACUGACGCUGAGGAGCGAAAGCGUGGGUAGCGAACAGGAUUAGAUACCCUUGUAGUC
rnacentral:rRNA from 1 species